GACGAACGCUGGCGGCGUGCUUAACACAUGCAAGUCGAACGAAGAGCGAUGGAAGCUUGCUUCUAUCAAUCUUAGUGGCGAACGGGUGAGUAACGCGUAAUCAACCUGCCCUUCAGAGGGGGACAACAGUUGGAAACGACUGCUAAUACCGCAUACGAUCUAAUCUCGGCAUCGAGGAUAGAUGAAAGGUGGCCUCUACAUGUAAGCUAUCACUGAAGGAGGGGAUUGCGUCUGAUUAGCUAGUUGGAGGGGUAACGGCCCACCAAGGCGAUGAUCAGUAGCCGGUCUGAGGGGAUGAACGGCCACAUUGGGACUGAGACACGGCCCAGACUCCUACGGGAGGCAGCAGUGGGGAAUCUUCCGCAAUGGACGAAAGUCUGACGGAGCAACGCCGCGUGAGCGAUGACGGCCUUCGGGUUGUAAAGCUCUGUUAAUCGGGACGAAAGGCCUUCUUGCGAAUAGUGAGAAGGAUUGACGGUACCGGAAUAGAAAGCCACGGCUAACUACGUG
rnacentral:rRNA from 1 species